ACAUGCAAGUCGAGGGGCAGCACAGGUAGCAAUACCGGGUGGCGACCGGCGCACGGGUGAGUAACGCGUAUGCAACUUACCUAUCAGAGGGGGAUAACCCGGCGAAAGUCGGACUAAUACCGCAUGAAGCAGGGGCCCCGCAUGGGGAUAUUUGCUAAAGAUUCAUCGCUGAUAGAUAGGCAUGCGUUCCAUUAGGCAGUUGGCGGGGUAACGGCCCACCAAACCGACGAUGGAUAGGGGUUCUGAGAGGAAGGUCCCCCACAUUGGUACUGAGACACGGACCAAACUCCUACGGGAGGCAGCAGUGAGGAAUAUUGGUCAAUGGGCGUAAGCCUGAACCAGCCAAGUCGCGUGAGGGAUGAAGGUUCUAUGGAUCGUAAACCUCUUUUAUAAGGGAAUAAAGUGUGGGACGUGUCCUGUUUUGUAUGUACCUUAUGAAUAAGGAUCGGCUAACUCCGUGCCAGCAGCCGCGGUAAUACGGAGGAUCCGAGCGUUAUCCGGAUUUAUUGGGUUUAAAGGGUGCGUAGGCGGCCUUUUAAGUCAGCGGUGAAAGUCUGUGGCUCAACCAUAGAAUUGCCGUUGAAACUGGGAGGCUUGAGUAUGUUUGAGGCAGGCGGAAUGCGUGGUGUAGCGGUGAAAUGCUUAGAUAUCACGCAGAACCCCGAUUGCGAAGGCAGCCUGCCAAGCCAUGACUGACGCUGAUGCACGAAAGCGUGGGGAUCAAACAGGAUUAGAUACCCUGGUAGUCCACGCAGUAAACGAUGAUCACUAGCUGUUUGCGAUACACUGUAAGCGGCACAGCGAAAGCGUUAAGUGAUCCACCUGGGGAGUACGCCGGCAACGGUGAAACUCAAAGGAAUUGACGGGGGCCCGCACAAGCGGAGGAACAUGUGGUUUAAUUCGAUGAUACGCGAGGAACCUUACCCGGGUUUGAACGC
rnacentral:rRNA from 1 species